UAGAGAUGGUAUGUUCUCUUCGGAGACGCGGUGAUAGGUGCUGCAUGGCUGUCGUCAGCUCGUGUCGUAAGAUGUCUGGUUAAGUCCAAUAACGAGCGCAACCCCUGUUCUUAGUUACCAUCAUUAAGUUGGGGACUCUAGGAAGACUGCCGGUGUUAAACCGGAGGAAGGCGGGGAUGACGUCAAGUCCUCAUGGCCCUUACGGGUAGGGCUACACACGUACUACAAUGGCAGAAACAGACCGUUGCGAAACCGUGAGGUGGAGCUAAUCGGUAAAACACUGCCUCAGUUCAGAUUGCAGUCUGCAACUCGACUGCAUGAAGUUGGAAUCGCUAGUAAUCGCUGAUCAGCGAGCAGCGGUGAAUACGUUCCCGGGCCUUGUACACACCGCCCGUCACACCACGAGAGUGGUUAUAACCAGAAGUAGCCG
rnacentral:rRNA from 1 species